AUUGAAAUAUUACAUUUUCUCUUUAUUUGCUUGUUUAGUGAAUCAUAUACUCUCUUAUUUGGGGCCAAUCCUUUGAUUCGACCGAAACUUGAUGCCAGCAAAUUAGCUGAUCUUCCAAUGAAGAAUUUUGUGAUGUUGCCUUGUGGUGGCAUUGGUGUAGAUUCUGACACAACCUGGAAUGAUCUACACACAGCAAGUGCUGCAAGAAUGGCUGCUGGAUGUGUUGUUGAAUUUUCCAUGAAAGUAGCAACAGAUGAAAUAGAGAAUGGUUUUGCUAUCGUCCGUCCUCCUGGACAUCAUGCGGAACAUUAAUAGGCAAUG